ACAUCCAGCGAAUUCGGUAGAGAUACCUUAGUGCCUUCGGGAACGCGUGAGACAGGUGCUGCAUGGCUGUCGUCAGCUCGUGUUGUGAAAUGUUGGGUUAAGUCCCGCAACGAGCGCAACCCUUAUCCUUUGUUGCCAGCGGUCCGGCCGGGAACUCAAAGGAGACUGCCAGUGAUAAACUGGAGGAAGGUGGGGAUGACGUCAAGUCAUCAUGGCCCUUACGAGUAGGGCUACACACGUGCUACAAUGGCGCAUACAAAGAGAAGCGACCUCGCGAGAGCAAGCGGACCUCAUAAAGUGCGUCGUAGUCCGGAUUGGAGUCUGCAACUCGACUCCAUGAAGUCGGAAUCGCUAGUAAUCGUAGAUCAGAAUGCUACGGUGAAUACGUUCCCGGGCCUUGUACACACCGCCCGUCACACCAUGGGAGUGGGUUGCAAAAGAAGUAGGUAGCUUAACCUUCGGGAGGGCGCUUACCACUUUGUGAUUCAUGACUGGGGUGAAGUCGUAACAAGGUAGGCGUAGAUGA
rnacentral:rRNA from 1 species